ACUCACAGCAGGAUUAAAUGGAUUUCCCUGGCUGUAGGAUGUUCCUCGGAAGCCCAUGGAUGUCCUGAGAUGUCCUUUAUACUUUCAGGCUUUGCUUUGCAUCCCAACUGAAUCUGGUUUUCCUAGCCAAUUGCUUGUUCCCCUCUAUCUGUUCCUGACCCAUUUAUACAGUCGAGCCCUACAUAAUAUGUCCCUCCACUGUGACAUCUUUGAAGAGUCCUCCCUCAUCCUUCUCGGGCAUUUCCUCUACUUCUCUACAACUUCUUGCUCAAUGUGAUUGUCUGUAUAUGCUUGGCCCAGGGAAUGGCACUAUUUGGAGACAUGACCUUGUUGGAGUAGGCGUGGCCUUGUUGAAGUGUGUGUGGCCCUGUUGGAGUAGGCGUGGCCUUGUUGAAGUGUGUGUGGCCCUGUUGGAGUUGGCAUGGCCAUGUUGGAGUAGAUGAGUCACUGUGGGUGUGGGCUUUAAGACCCUCAUCCUAGCUGCCUGGAAGCCACUAUUCUGCUAGCAGCCUUCAGAUGAAGAUGUAGAGAACUCUCAGCUCCUCCUGAACCAUGCCUGCCUGGAUGCUGCCAUGUUCCCACCUUGAUGAUAAUGGACUGAACCUCUGAACCUGUAAUCCAGCCGCAAUUAAAUGUUGU
rnacentral:lncRNA from 1 species